UGCCAGCCGCCGCGGUAAUACGGAGGGUGCAAGCGUUAUCCGGAAUCACUGGGUUUAAAGGGUGCGUAGGCGGUUUUGUAAGUCAGAGGUGAAAUCCCACCGCUUAACGGUGGAACUGCCUUUGAAACUACAGGACUUGAAUUAGGUUGAGGUUAGCGGAAUGAGUCAUGUAGCGGUGAAAUGCAUAGAUAUGACUUAGAACACCAAUUGCGAAGGCAGCUGGCUGAGCCUUAAUUGACGCUGAGGCACGAAAGCGUGGGGAGCGAACAGGAUUAGAUA
rnacentral:rRNA from 1 species